rnacentral:rRNA from 1 species
GAUGAACGCUGGCGGCGUGCUUAACACAUGCAAGUCGAACGGAAAGGCCCGGCUUUUGUGGGGUGCUCGAGUGGCGAACGGGGGAGUAACACGUGAGUAACCUGCCCUUGACUUUGGGAUAUCUCUAGGAAACUGGGGCUAAUACCGGAGAGGAGCUCCUGCUGCAUGUGGGGGGUUGGUAAGUUUCGGCGGUUGUGGAUGGUCUCGAGGCUUCUCAGCUUGUUGGGGGGGUAGUGGCUUACCAGGGGUUUGACGGGUAGCCGGCCUGAGAGGGUGACAGGCCACCUUGCGCCUACGGUACGGCCCAGUAUGCAACGGGAGGCAGCAGUGGGGAACAUUGCACAAUAGGGGGAAGUCUGAUGCAGAAACGCUGCGUGCGGGAUGCCGGCUUUCGAGUUGUAAACCGCUUUCGACUGUGCCGAAGACGGAGUGACGGUAAUGGGUAAAGAAGCAACGGCUAACUACGUG